UACCUGUGGGUGUUGCUAUGGCAGUGAGUGCCCUGCCUGUGCAGCCAGCAGAGUCAUUUCCGGCAGCUCUGUCGUCUUGGGGCUGGGAGGUGGUUUUCUGCCUCUUGCUCACUCACAAACAGGAGGCUCGGUCUCAGCAUGCACCGCAGCUCUCUCGUCCUCACUGCCUUCCUGGGACAACUGCUGGGUGCCGUGGGGCAGACCAUUGUCAGCCAGCAAGAAGGACAGGUCACAGUGCAGGAGAGAAACACCUUCCAGACCACCUGCACAUACCAGGCAGCUAACUUUAAUGGCUUGUUAUGGUACCAGCAGAAGAAAGGCCAAGCUCCCCAGCUGGUCACAUAUCAGGCAGCAGCAGGCUCCAAGCAGAACGGCCGUUUCACCACGUGGCUGAACACCACCGGGAAAUACAGCCUGCUGCGGCUGGCAGAAGUCGAGCUGUCUGACAGCGCCUUGUACCUCUGUGCUGUGCAGGACACCCUGGUGCAGGGAGCUUCCUUGGCCGUGCAACAACCCCAGGGAGGGAGGAGGUGAUGGCUGGUGAGGUCGUACCAUCGGAUGGGCAUGGCACCCACUGUUCGUAGCAGGGCAUGUCUCAGAGAGGAUCGCUCUUGUGGUAAAGAAUGGGUGAAUGGAUGCCUGAGAAGGAUGAACAAAUCUUUGUAUACCUGUGUCUGUGGAAGAAGUGAGAGAGAGAGGAGAUGGAGAGAGAUUGAUUCCAGCAGUGAUCAGCAGAGGCCAUGAGAGCACCACAUAAGCCAGGAAAUGACAUCCUGUGUGAAGUCUGCUGCUGCUCUUAUUGAGCUGGAAAAUCUCACUCUGACAUCACCUCCUUCUGAACGCACAGGGCCAUGGCAAAGGAGAACAGGACUUUUCUGAUUCAGUGCAUUCUCCUGGGCUGAACAGAGCAUCCCAGCUGUCACAUGCUCCUGUUUCUCAUUAUCUGCUCCAUGUCUCUCCUGACCCUGGCCUCACCUUUGUCACAGCAGGGAGCGAUCAGUACCUGUGGGUCUCAACAUGGUCCUUGUUGCCUGGCUACAGGCUGGGUACCAGGAAUAUCACUGUCAGUUUCUACUGGGAUGAGGGGCCUCUUCUGGGACUGGCCUGCGGGGAUCCCGUCAGGCUUUAUUCUGGGCUUUAUGGUUCCUGUUGUCAUCAUCGUCCUUACGCUGUGCUUUUCAUGAUAGUUUCCUGCAUCUGCAUCACCUCCAAUAGAAUAAUCUCUAUUCCCUCUACUUUCACUCACCAGAAGGCAUUUUUUGCCUAUCUGUCCUGUCCCAGCACAGUUCCCUGUCUGUCAGAGGCCAAGGCCAGAUCCAGCCAAAGCCUUCCUGAAAGUUCCAUCCCUUGAAUGCCCUGGACCUUCAAGGAGCCUGGCAGGGCAGGAGGAGAGCAGUAGGUUGGGCCAUAGAGGUGUACACCUGCAGCAGAGCAAGGGGGCGGCUGUGCUAUUGUGUAGAGACCCCUGGCCAGGGACCAGGCCAGAGUUACUCUUUAUGGUUACAUUGGGCUUUGGUUGCCUUGGUUCUGAUGCUCUUUGUGUUGUGAUCCCACC